UCCACGGUGGUCCACUGGCCGGGACUCUGUGUUGCCAAUGCAGGGGACCCAGGUUCAAUCCCUGGUCAGGGAA
rfam:TPA: Bos taurus chromosome 13, whole genome shotgun sequence.